UACGAAGGAUCCAAGCGUUGUCCGGAUUUACUGGGUUUAAAGGGAGCGUAGGCGGAUCUUUAAGUCAGUGGUGAAAGCUCUCAGCUUAACUGGGAAACUGCCAUUGAAACUGAAGAUCUCGAGUAUGGUUGGGGUUACUGGAAUGUUGCAUGUAGCGGUGAAAUGCUUAGAUAUGCAACAGAACACCAAUUGCGAAGGCAGGUAACUAAGCCAUAACUGACGCUGAGGCUCGAAAGCGUGGGGAGCAAACAGG
rnacentral:rRNA from 1 species